UAUUAUUAUUACUCUAGAAUGUAUUUUUUACAAUUUCAUAAGAGCUAAAGAUUAUCUUAUCGGUGUAAGUAGAAGACAAACAAUAUAACUUAUAAAGUGAUAAAACUAUCUGUUACAUGGAAAUGAGACAAUUAUGACUAAAAUUGUGAAGAUUAUUUAUGUUAUGAUUAUCAUUCUUUUCCUAUUUCUUUCGGCAAAAAAUGUUGAAUCGUGGUAUGGUAAACGAUGUGUUAGAGAAUUGGAUUGUCGCUUUGUGUUGUGUCCUAAACCUAAAAUAGCAAAGUGUGUAGCCAGUCAGUGUAAUUGUGUUGUGCCGGAGGAUUUUGUACCUGAAUAAUUAUGUAUUAAUUAGUGCAAUAUUUAAGAGAGUUUCUCUACUACUGUUUUUCAUGAAAUGUCAUUUAGUUAUAAUGUUGGCGCUUAAUAAUUUUUAUUUUCUUAUUUAAUUUCUGGAAA